UGGUCGAGUAGACCAAGGCGCGCGAGAGAAACCUCUCUAAGGAACUCGGCACAUUAGCCCCGUAACUUCGGGAGAAGGGGUGCCUAUUUAAUAGGUCUCAGUAAAUUGCGUUUAGCGACUGUUUAACAAAAACACAGCACUCUGCUAAGUCGUCAAGACGACGUAUAGGGUGUGACACGUGACCAAUGCGGAAGAUCAAGGCAACUUGUUAGCCGUAAGGCGAAGCUCGGAACCUAAGUCCCCGUGAAUGUCGGCCGUAACUAUAACGGUCCUAAGGUAGCGAAAUUCCUUGUCGGGUAAGUUCCGACCUGCACGAAUCGUGUAACGACUGAACGACUGUCUCGGAGAGGAUCUCGGCGAAACUGUAACGGCGGUGAAGAUGCCGCCUGCCCGCAGUAGGACGGAAAGACCCUAUGCACCUUUACUGUAAGCUCGUAUUGGGUUCUGAUUAAUAAUGCUUAGCGUAGGUGGGAGACUUUGAAGGCGUGGCUUCGGUUGCGCUGGAGUCGAAAUGUGAAACACCACUCUUUGUUAAUUAGGAUUCUAACCCCGAUUCCUGUGAAGCCAGGCGGGGGACAGUGCGUGCGGGUCAGUUUGACUGGGGCGGUUUCCUCCCAAAGAGUAACGGAGGAGCGCGAAGGUACUCUCAGUACGGUUUGCAACCGUGCGUCGAGCGUAUGGGUAGAAGAGUGCUUAACUGUGAGACAUACAAGUCGAGCAGGUACGAAAGUAGGCCCAAAUGAUCCGAUAGUUUAAUGUGGAAUUGCUAUCGCUCAACGGACAAAAGGUACGCUAGGGAUAACAGGCUGAUCGCUGCCAAGAGUUCAUAUCGACGCAGCGGUUUGGCACCUCGAUGUCGGCUCAUCGCAUCCUGGGGCUGGAGAAGGUCCCAAGGGUCCGGCUGUUCGCCGGUUAAAGCGGUACGCGAGCUGGGUUCAGAACGUCGUGAGACAGUUCGGUCCUUAUCCACUGUGGGCGAAGGAAACUUGAGGGGUUCAUUCUCUAGUACGAGAGGACCGAGAAUGACGCACUUCUGGUGUGGCAGUUAUUCCGUCAGGGGUAGCGCUGCGUAGCCAUGUGCGGAAGAGAUAAGCGCUGAAAGCAUCUAAGUGCCAAGCUCAUCCCAAGAUAAUGUUUCCCGGACGCAAGUCCCUAAAGACCCCAGCGAGACUAGCUGGUUGAUAGGUUAGGCGUGCACGUGGAGUAAUCCACUUAGCGGACUAAUACUAAUCGGUCGUGCGGCUUGAUCGC
rnacentral:rRNA from 1 species